rnacentral:rRNA from 1 species
UACGUAGGGAGCGAGCGUUGUCCGGAUUUAUUGGGCGUAAAGCGCGCGUAGGCGGUUUGAUAAGCCGGGUGUGAAACCUCCAAGCUCAACUUGGAGCGGCCACUCGGAACUGUCAUGACUUGAGUCAGGUAGGGGAACACGGAAUUCCAGGUGUAGCGGUGAAAUGCUUAGAUAUCUGGAGGAACACCAGUGGCGAAGGCGGUGUUCUGGGCCUGUACUGACGCUGAUGCGCGAAAGCGUGGGGAGCGAACAGG